GUCUCUUUUGUAGCACCAAGAAUGCAAGAAUGGAGUCAUGAACAUAAUUCAAGUGUGGAUCAACACCAACAUGAAUCAGCCUGGACAGCCAGUGACAAUGGAAGCUGGACAGAUACCCAAAGACAAAAUUCGAUCAGUUGCCCCACAUUUACAAGAUGGUUCAUUGGACCUCUUCUCAUAAUUUUAAUUUUACCUGCCUGCUGCACAUCAUUCUCUGUCCCCGGAUUGUCUGCCUGGUUUUGACUUGUGCCUGCCA